CAGCCGCCGCGGUAAUACGUAGGGUGCGAGCGUUAAUCGGAAUUACUGGGCGUAAAGCGUGCGCAGGCGGUUAUAUAAGACAGAUGUGAAAUCCCCGGGCUCAACCUGGGAACUGCAUUUGUGACUGUAUAGCUAGAGUACGGCAGAGGGGGAUGGAAUUCCGCGUGUAGCAGUGAAAUGCGUAGAUAUGCGGAGGAACACCGAUGGCGAAGGCAAUCCCCUGGGCCUGUACUGACGCUCAUGCACGAAAGCGUGGGGAGCAAACAGGAUUAGAUACCCCCGUAGUCCCUGUCUCUUAUAC
rnacentral:rRNA from 1 species